rnacentral:tRNA from 1 species
GAGAAAGAUCAAUGCAAGAACUGCUAACUCCUGCACCCAUUCAUAAAAAAUGGCUUUCUU